CGUGUAUCCUAGUCGGCCUGACCCCGGGAGGCGGGCGUGGUACGUUGGGGGUGGUGGCAGCAGCGGCAGGUUUUCCCAUGGAGCCAGUCCAUUUGCUCCCAUUUCCCCCCAUGGUUUGCCCUGAGGGCUGUCUCUGUUGUCCCAAGUUCGCCGGACGUCCAUCUCCAGGUCAGCCUGCUCCCUAGAGGAGGCCACCGUGAGGUCAGGGGGCAAGAGAGGUGGCUGCUGCGGGGGUAGGUGGCUGCCUUGGGGAGCUGGUGGAUUGGCUCCCGUCUCCCCGAUUGCCUGGUGUGGGAGUGGCCUCUCCUCCCCCAGAUCACCAGACACACCUGUCCCAUUCAACCUGCUGGGGGAGGGGUGCCCUGGGCGGUGCCUUUAAGGUGCGGGGGUGGCGACGGCGGGGGUAGAAGACCUGCAGCGCUGAGCCUGUCAAUUUGCUCUCCUCUUCCCCUCUGCCAAUCCUGGGGGCGUCCUCUGCUGCCCAAGAAGCCGGAUGCCCGUCUCCAGGUCAGCUUGCUCCUGGGAGAAGGGCGCGAUGCGGUCGAAGGGCAGAGGCAGCUGCGAUAUCCGGCUGCCCGUCCUAAUGGGGCCACUUCUUCUCCUCUCCACUGACCUGGCCUGGGGAUGGCCUCUCCCGCGCAAGAUUCGCCUGACACCCCACACCCGGUCAGGUUGCUCCUGGGAGGUGGGCGCGGUGAGAUCAGGUGUUGGAGAGGAGAGAGGGGCUGCCCCUGGCGAGGUGGAGGAUAAGCUCCCAUCUCUCUGGAGGCCUGACGUGGCCGACCCUCGUUCCCAGGUGACAUUUUAGGUUAUUGGGUCACAGAUUGCUGGCACACUCAUCCCUGUUCUCAAAUAUCUUUUAAACUUGGGUGAAGUGAUAAGUAGGGGAAGAUGAUUUACUGAAAGGAAGUCCCCUUUCACAAAAUUGUAUGUGUUUUUGUCUGAGAGAGAGAAAUGGAGACAGACAGAAAGACGAAGAAGCAGAAGAGAGCGCCCUCAGAAGAGAGCUAGUUAAGAAUCCUUGAGAGGUCCCUGUCAUCAUUGUCAGUAUCAUCAUCAUCAUCACCAUCAUCAUGGAACUGAUUCCUCUGGGAGAUUCUAGGAAAAUAAAGAGCCGGACGGGGUUAUGUGAAGCAUCCCAGACUGACGAAGACAGUGGAGAAUGCCUCUGAGUUUGGCACUGAUUGCCUGGAGAAUGCUGAAACCCAGGGAAGUGGGCAGCACAGACGUUUACUCAUUUAAUCCUGCCAACACAGUAGGAGAUAGAGUCCACAUAUUCCUCGCUACUUAAAAGAUCCCUGCCUUCUCUCUGCUCCUCCUGUCCAUGUCUCUUCCUCCACUUUUCCCCUUCUCCCGUCCUCCUCCCAUCUUCUCCGUCCCUUGCUUCCCCACCUUCUCUCACAGAACUCGGAGAGGAUCUCUGGCCAUCCUGCGCAUGCGCAGUCUUUGCCAGCUGGAAUGAGGGUUGGAAGCUCCAGCUCCGAGCCGGGGAUCGGCCCCAAAGGCUGCUCAGCUCUUUCGCCCGGUAGGACAUUUGCUCCUGCCCCGGCGCCCCGGCCACAGCUGUCCAGGGCCAGGUGUGCACCUGCCGCCUCUCGCCCCAGCCGGGCUCCCCUGUGUCCGUGGCUGGCGUCCCUUUCCCCUC